AAAUGGCUAAUGACUAACACAGGGAUAAAGGUUGUCCCAUAAUAAAAAGGGACAGAUAACCAGGAGGGAGGUUUUAGUCCGUAGGUCGUCACUGAGACACUUUCUCAGUGGAGUCGGGCAUGCCCUUUGGCCCGGGCCCUUGGGUAUCCAUGAGGAUUUCCUUCCGCCC
rfam:Bombyx mori DNA, contig: Bm_scaf17_contig12445, strain: p50T/Dazao, build 2, whole genome shotgun sequence.